GACGAACGCUGGCGGCGUGCUUAACACAUGCAAGUCGAACGCUGAAGCUCAGCUUUUGUUGGGUGGAUGAGUGGCGAACGGGUGAGUAACACGUGAGUAACCUGCCUCCUUCUUUGGGAUAACGCCCGGAAACGGGUGCUAAUACUGGAUAUUCACUGGUCUUCGCAUGGGGGUUGGUGGAAAGGGUUUUUCUGGUGGGGGAUGGGCUCGCGGCCUAUCAGCUUGUUGGUGGGGUGAUGGCCUACCAAGGCUUUGACGGGUAGCCGGCCUGAGAGGGUGACCGGUCACAUUGGGACUGAGAUACGGCCCAGACUCCUACGGGAGGCAGCAGUGGGGAAUAUUGCACAAUGGGCGAAAGCCUGAUGCAGCGACGCGGCGUGAGGGAUGGAGGCCUUCGGGUUGUGAACCUCUUUCGCUCAUGGUCAAGCCGCAACAAUGGUUGUGGUGAGGGUAGUGGGUAAAGAAGCGCCGGCUAACUACGUG
rnacentral:rRNA from 1 species